GACGAACCGUGCGAACGUUAUUCGGAAUCACUGGGCUUAAAGGGUGCGUAGGCGGGCUCGCCAGUCAGGGGUGAAAUCCCACGGCCCAACCGUGGAAGUGCCUCUGAUACUGCGGGCCUCGAGGGGGAUAGGGGCGUGCGGAACUUCCGGUGGAGCGGUGAAAUGCGUUGAUAUCCUAAGGAACACCGGUGGCGAAAGCGGCGUACUGGGUCUUUUCUGACGCUGAGGCACGAAAGCCAGGGUAGCGAACGGG
rnacentral:rRNA from 1 species